GGAUCCUGCAGACGACUGGCUGGUGGACUCCUUGCGCUUGUAAAUCGUGCGGGGCUGGGAGACGGGAGCUGGGCCCGGAGCUGGCCUGGCGGGCGGAUGGGUGUGGGUGGAGGCAUGUUGGGAAUCCUGGUGCAGAGUGGGCCAGCUGUGGCCUCGGGGCUCGCCACCGCGGAGGACUCCGCCUGGGCCUAGGUCACCAUCUCUAGGAAAUGGCUCCUUCCUGCGUGCGCGAGUUGUGAGAUUACUAGUAAGAGCCGCGCUUGUGAAGACGCAGUGCCCAGUUAGUUUGCGCCAGCCUCUGAGUUCAGCUCAGAACACAGAUGAUCUCAUUGAUUCCUCACGUCAACCUUGGGAAAUCUGGGUACUCUGGGAGGUCCACACAUGAGGACCGAGGCUCAGGGACAUCAAGGGACUGGCCUGGUCCCAGAAACAGGGAGUAAAAUGGGAAGUAAACUCAGUCCCACGUCUGCCUGACUCCAGAGUUUGGGCCACUGAACCAUGCGGCUGCCAUCUUGGAGUUCUUUGAGCUGUGAAGUGCUGUGCAUCGUGUGAUUGUAUGUCCCUUUUAUGCAGGAGUCUUUGUUGCUGGCUAUGAAAGCCUGAAAAAGAAUGAAAUUCUUCAUCUGAAAUUACCUCUCAGACUUUCUGUAAACGAAAACAAGGGCUUAUUCCCAGAAAGAGAUUUCAAAGUGCGCCAUGGAGGAUUUUCAGACAGGUCUAUCUUUGAUCUAAAGCACGUGCCACAUACCAGAUUGUUGGUUACCAGUGGCCUUCCAGGUUGUUACCUGCAGGUGUGGCAGGUUGCAGAGGACAGUGAUGUCAUUAAAGCUGUCAGCACCAUUACUGUGCACGAGAAAGAGGAGAGUCUCUGGCCUAGGGUGGCCGUCUUCUCCGCAGUGGCACCCAGAGUCCUCCAUGGGGCGAGGCUCCGCAGUCUGCAGGUCGUUGAUCUGGAGUCCCGGAAGACCACGUACACCUCAGAUGUCAGUGACAGUGAGGAGCUGAGUAGCCUGCAGGUCCUAGAUGCAGACACCUUUGCCUUCUGCUGUGCUUCAGGCCAGCUGGGGCUUGUUGACACCCGCCAGAAGUGGGCACCGUUGGAGAAUCGCAGCCCUGGCCCUGGGUCUGGUGGAGAGAGAUGGUGUGCUGAAGUUGGGAGCUGGGGCCAGGGCCCUGGGCCCAGCAUUGCCAGCCUUGGCUCAGAUGGGCGUCUUUGUCUUCUUGAUCCCCGGGAUCUCUG
rnacentral:sRNA from 1 species